rnacentral:rRNA from 1 species
GACGAACCGUGCGAACGUUGUUCGGAAUCACUGGGCUUAAAGGGCGCGUAGGCGGGCCAGCCAGUCUGUGGUGAAAGCCUCCAGCUUAACUGGAGAAGUGCCGUGGAUACUGCUGGCCUCGAGGAGGAUAGGGGCAUCUGGAACGGUCGGUGGAGCGGUGAAAUGCGUUGAUAUCGACCGGAACUCCGGUGGCGAAGGCGAGGUGCUGGGUCCUUUCUGACGCUGAUGCGCGAAAGCCAGGGGAGCAAAGCGGGAU